rnacentral:lncRNA from 13 species
UUUGAGAACAAAAGGUUAUGCACUAUAGUACCUCGUUCCAUUCAGGGAAAGCUCCUUGAAUCAGAGUAUGCCUAGGACCUUACUCCACUCACUGUGCUAAGAGACAAGGAAAAAAGAGGAUUGAGAGAGAGGGAACUGUUAAGAAACACUCUGUAUUCUAAUUGCACAGUGCAGACCGUUGAACUGCACAUCUGGCUUUGCCUGCAUUUCUAAUCACGCUAUUCAUCUAUUGAUCUCAGUUUCUACUGUGUCGAUGGCUGUUACAGGAAACAGAGCAGGGGAUGUGGCUAUUACAGGAAACAGCUAGAGCAGGGGAUGUGGCUAUUACAGGAAACAGAUAGAUCAGGGGAUGUGGCUAUUACAGGAAACAGCUAGAGCAGGGGAUGUGGCUAUUGCAUGAACCAGCUAGAGCAAGGGAUGUGGCUGUUACAGGAUAGAGCAAGAGCAGGGGAUGUGGCUGUUACAGGACAGAGCAAGAUCAGGGGAUGUGGCUGUUACAGAACAGAGCAUGAACAGGGGAUGUGGCUGUUACCGGACAGAGCAAGAGCAAGGGAUGUGGCUAUUGAAGGAAACAGAUACAGCAGGGGAUGUGGCUAUUGUAGGAAACAGCUAGAGCAGGAGAUGUGGUUGUUACUGUACAGAGCAAGAGCAGGGGAUGUGGCUGUUGCAGGACAGACAAGAGCAGGGGAUGUGGCUGUUACAGGACAGAGCAAGAGCAGGGGAUGUGGCUGUUACAGGAAACAGAAAAAUAGCAGGGGAUGUGGCUGUUACAGGAUAGAGCAAGAGCAAGGGAUGUGGCUGUUACAGGACAGAACAAGAGCAGACACACCUUGUGUUUGGACCCCUCAGACGUACUCACUUCAUCUGUAUUCUGAUCCUUAACUACAGUAUUUCUGACAACAUUUAUUUUUAUUUAACCAGGUAGGCCAGUUGAGAAGUUCUCAUUUACAACUGCGACCUGGCCAAGAUAAAGCAAAGCAGUAUGACACAAACAACAACACAGAGUUGCACAUGGAAUAAACAAACGUACAGUCAAUAACACAAUAGAAAAGUCUAUAUACAGUGUGUGCAAAUGAAGUAAGAUUAGGGAGGUAAGGCAAUAAAUAGGCCAUAGUGGUGAAAUAAUUGCAAUUGAGCAAAUAAACACUGCAGUGAUAGAUGUGCAGAAGAUGAAUGUGCAAGUAGAGAUACUGGGGUGGAAAGGAGCGAAAAAAACAUGUAUAAAUAAAAAAAAUAACAAUAUGGGGAUGAGAUAGUUAGAUGGCUAUUUAGAGAUGGGCUAUGUACAGGUGCAGUGAUCUGUAAGCUGCUCUGAUAGCUGAUGCUUAAAGUUAGUGAGGAAGAUAUGAGUCUCCAGCUUCAGUGAUUUUUGCAAUUUGUUCCAGUCAUUGUGAACAUAGAACUGGAAGGAAAGGCGGCCAAAGGAGGAAUUGGCUUUCGGGGUGACCAGUGAAAUAUACCUGCUGUAGUGCGUGCUACGGGUUGGUGCUGCUAUGGUGACCAGUGAGCUGAGAUUAGGCGGGGCUUUACCAAGCAAAGACUUAUAGAUGACCAGUGGGUUUGGCAAUGAAAAUGAAGCGAGGGCCAGCCAAGGAGAGCAUACAGGUCGCAGUGGUGGGUAGUAUAUGGGGCUUUGGGGACGAAACGGAUGGCACUGUGAUAGACUGCAUCCAAUUUGCUGAGUAGAGUGUUGGAGGCUAUUUUGUAAAUGACAUCGCCGAAGUCAAGGAUCUGUAGGAUAGUCAGUUUUACGAGGGUAUGUUUGCAGAACGAGUGAACUAUGCUUUGUUGCGAAAUAGGAAACCAAUUCUAGAUUUUGGUUUGUAGAUGCUUAAUAUGAGUCUGGAAGGAGAGUUUACAGUCUAGCCAGACACCUAGGUAUUUGUAGUUGUCCACAUAUUCCGAACCGUUCAGAUUGGUGAUGCUGGGAGGGGGGGGGGGGUGCGGGUAGCGAUCGGAUGAAGAGCAAACAUUUAGUUUUACUGGUAUUUAAGAGCAGUUGGAGUCCACGGAAGGAGAGUUGUAUGGCAUUGAAGCUCAUCUGGAGGUUAGUUAACACAGUGUCCAAAGAAGGGCCAGAAGUAUACAGAAUGGUAUGGUCUGCGUAGAGGUGGAUCAGAGAAUCACCAACCGCAAGAGCGACAUCAUUGAUGUAUACAGAGAAAAGAGCCGGCCCGAGAAUAGAACCCUGUGGCACCCCCACAGAGACUGCCAGAGGCACUCCGAUUUGACACACUGAGUUAAGCAGGGUCCUGUGGGUGGCUGGGUGGAAGAGGUGCUGGAUGAUUUUACCUCUCUUUGUCUGUAAUGAGGCUGGGGACCGGGAGAGAGGGGCAGCCCACUGUGCUGUGGAGGGCUUGGGGGGGUUGGUGGGCAGGCACCCUUUGAUGGCUGCUGAUGAGUGGCGAGCAUCUCCAGACACUGGGAUGAGAGCUGGCAGGGCCUGGGUCUUUCCAGAUGGGGCCUCAUCUGGCCUUAACUCCCCAGCCCUCCCCUGUCCUCAGAUCCUCUCUACUGAAGAGUGGAGUGCAGCCCAGUAAAGCCCCGCUCAUUUCAGCCCAAAUGAAGAUGAGAGGUGUCUGGUAGAUCAAAAGUGGAGACUGACUGCCAGACAGUUCAAAGAGAUCCAAGGCUGACAUUUAGGGUUUGACUACAGACCGGGAGGGGCGGUGGAAAGGUUAGGUUUUGGGGGAUUGAAUAACGUACAGAAAAAGUGACAGAUGGGAACAGUGGAAUAUGAAUUGUUGAAUAUCAAUCAAGAAUACAUAGACAAAGAGUAGAGAUGUGAGGGACAAUCCUAGAGGGGAGCGGAGGAAAGACUAUGUUAUAAACUGAGUGGUUCGAGUCCUGAAUGCUGAUCGACUUUUUACUGUUCUAAUUACAUUGGUAACCAGUUUAUAAUAGCUAUAAGGCACCUUGGGGGGUUGUGGUAUAUGGCCAAUAUCCCACGUUUAAGGGCUGUAUCCAGAGAAAACAGUCCCUCAAUUGAAAUGCUAAUACAAUAUUCCCUUUCUGCUCUGAAUAUGCCAAACAUCUUCCUCGUCAUUAACCCUCAAAUCCCCAAGCAGCAUGGAGGAGCUUAUAGGGUUGGGGAGAGGAGAAAGGAUGCUCUUGGAAUUCCACCAUUUAGCCGGCAGCAGGCAGUUGACUGGGGCUGAUUGGAGCAUUAGAAACUCUGGAUAGAAAAAGAACCUCCUUUGUGUUUGCCCUCACCUCAUUUGUAAAGCUCUCCUCAAAUCUGUUUCCCAUUUGCCCAUGAUAGCAAUCACAAAAUAGUGGAUGCUGCUGACUGUUAAUCAAAAUGAACUUUCUUCAUUCCAAAUAACAAACUGCCCCUGGACAAUCCCAUUGAGCAUACAUUGGUGGACAAAAAGCAAUUAUUGAUAUGAAUAUUCUCAUACUUGUCACAGUAAUUGAACUCUACAUUGCUUUGGUUGCAUCAUUUAAAGUUGAACACAGAUUAAUGUGUGAAUCUUCGCUUUGAAAAUUGCCUGGGCAGAAGCUAAAAGCUCAUUUAAUGGGCACGAUGAGCAGUAUGACACUAGGUAAGAGGUUUCCUUCUUAUGGCUGCCAUCCC